GACGAACGCUGGCGGCGUGCUUAACACAUGCAAGUCGAACGGAAAGGCCCUGCUUUUGUGGGGUGCUCGAGUGGCGAACUGGUGAGUAACACGUGAGUAACCUGCCCUUGACUUUGGGAGAACUUCAGGAAACUUGGUCUAAUACCGGAUAGGAGCUCCUGCUUCAUGGUGGGGGUUGGAUAGUUUCGGUGGUUGGGGAUGGACUCGCGGCUUAUCAGCUUGUUGGUGGGGUAGUGUCUUAGCAAGGCUUUGACGGGUAGCAGGCCUGAGAGGGUAACCGGCCACACUAGACCUGAGAUAAGGCACAGACUACUACGGGAGGCAGCAGUGGGGAAGAUUGCACAAUGGGCGGAAGCAUGAUGCAGCAAAGCAGCGUGCGGGAUGACGGCAUUCGGGUUGUAAACCGAUGUCGCCUGUGACGAAGCGUGAGUGACGGUAAUGGGUAAAGAAGCACCGGCUAACUACGUG
rnacentral:rRNA from 1 species